CGUUCCCGGGCCUUGUACACACCGCCCGUCAAGUCAUGAAAGUCGGUAACACCCGAAGCCGGUGGCCCAACCCUUGUGGAGGGAGCCGUCGAGGGUGGGAUCGGUGAUUAGGACU
rnacentral:rRNA from 1 species